AAUGAACGCUGGCGGCAGGCCUAACACAUGCAAGUCGAGCGGAUGAAGGGAGCUUGCGCCUGGAUUCAGCGGCGGACGGGUGAGUAAUGCCUAUGAAUCUGCCUGGUAGUGGGGUAUAACGUCCGGAAACGGGCGCUAAUACCGCAUACGUCCUGAGGGAGAAAGUGGGGGAGCUUCGGACCUCACGCUCUCAGAUGAGCCUAGGUCGGAUUAGCUAGUUGGUGGGGUAAAGGCCUACCAAGGCGACGAUCCGUAGCUGGUCUGAGUGGAUGAUCAGUCACCCUGGAACUUGGCCACGGUCCUGACUCCUACGGGAGGCCGCAGUGGGGAAUAUUGGACAAUGGGCGAAAGCCUGAUCCAGCCAUGGCGCGUGUGUGAAGACGGUCUUCGGAUUGUAAAGCCCUUUAAGUUGGGAGGAAGGGCAGUAAGUUAAUACCUUGCUGUUUUGACGUUACCGGCAGAAUAAGCACCGGCUAACUUCGUG
rnacentral:rRNA from 1 species